CAAAAACGUGAACACGCUAUGCUCUCUUCUUUCUCCGUGAAAACCCUAGCGCCGCCGCAUUCCCUCAUCAGUUUUCCGACCACCACGAACUCAAAAUGAAAAAAUAACAACAUAUUCAUACUCCUCAAUUCGUGGCCUAUCUAGUGAACCAUAACGUUUUCCAUUUCGAGCCACCGCCGUCGAACCACCUUCCGCCUCUCCUUCCGGCCACCGCUCCUCCAAUCGAAGAAAUGAGGUCAUUUUCGUGCUUAUCAUUAUGUGACCUUCAACUUGAACCAGUUGUAUUUUUUGGAUUCAAUUAGAGUUUCUAAGGCAACUACGGUAUGGUUCUUAGGCUUUGUGAGUUAGGAGUUUUAUUUACUAUUCUUGACCUGUAUUAUUACUCUUUUGACAUUGGCUUGAGUUUUGCAAACAAGGUGUUUGUUGAAAUUCCUCUGAACAAAUUUGAGGGUUAGUGACUCCCUGUAUUAUUACUUUAGACUAAUUUAUGCUCUAGUUUAGAAUGAUAUUUUUUAUAUUUAAAACAAAUUCAUGCAGGUACAAAAAGAAAAAUUACUGAACAAAUUCAAGACUAAAACAAUGUAAAGAAAGAAAGAAAAAGACAAGAAUUUUAUGUUAAUGAUACUAAGUUAUUGUUUGUCAUGAAUUAAAGGUAUAUGGUGCAAGGAGCAGAAGCAGUUCAUGCAGCAAAUCCAAAUGUUCUUGUAAUUUUAUCUGGAUUUAAUUUUGCCAGAGACUUAUCAUUUUUUUCCAAAAGACCAGUGAAGCUAUCAUUCCAAGGGAAAUUAGUAUUUGAAGCACACUGGUAUGGAUUCAAUGAUGGUGAAGCUUGGCUAAGAGGGAACCCAAAUCAGGAAGCAAAAGUACCAUACUGUGCUAUAGCUAGUUCAAUUUGAUGGGUUAAGUCAAGAAAGUCAGCCCAUAGCCAACAUAUUUUAUUGAAGAAUUUUAUUACAAGAUAGAGCAUUCAAGGCGUAUUAAUACACCAUAAGUGGCUGAUCUCAUACAGAGAAGCAAAAGACUUGAUCCCAUUAAUUGGCCAGGAUUAGUUUGUCUUGAUGUUAUUUAUCAGACAUGAGUUAGAGAACAAAGAGAAAGUAGCAGGCAAGAUUUAUAUAGCAAGAGCCUGUCAUAGAACAAUUGGGCAUCAUCUUCCUGACAAGGCAAUUGAUUUAGUCGACAAGGCAUGUGCAAAUGUGAGAGUUCAACUUGAUAGUCAGCCAGAAGAAAUUGACAAUCUUGAAAGAGAAUGCAACUAGAAGUGGAGCUUCAUGCUCGAGAGAAAGAGAAGGACAAAGCUAGCAAAGCUCGUAUUGUAGAUGUGCGGAGAGAACUUGACGAAUUAAGAGACAAGCUUCAACCUCUAAAGAUGAAGUAUAGCAAAGAAAAAGAGAGAAUUGAUGAGAUUCAAAGGCUGAAGCAGAAACGUGAAGAGCUCUUAUUCGCACUACAGGAGGCUGAGAGGCGGUAUGAUCUAGCCAAAGCUGCAAACCUACGAUAUGGUGCAAUUGAAGAGGUGGAAACUGCCAUAAAAAACCUUGAAGGUAGCACUGAUAGUAACACCGAUGAGAGUCUGAUGUUGACUGAAACUGUUGUUGUCUAAUUUGAGAUUAAGGAAGUGAAGUUCCUAGCAACUUACCUGGAGGGUUCAGUGAAUUAAUUCCCAGAGAGUUGACAACUACUAUUUGACCUUAAAUAAAUGCUUUCUUGGAAGGGUUCAAUGAAUUAAUUCCCAGAAAGUUGAUAUCCAUAUUCAAUGACAAAGAGCUGGAGUUAUUGAUCAGUGGGCUUCUGAUAUUGAUUUGGAUGACUUGAGAGCAAAUACAGAAUAUUCUAGAUAUAGUGCUGCAUCGCCGGCUAUUCAAUGGUUUUGGGAGGUUGUCCAAGAUUUAAGCAAAGAAGACAAGGCUCGGUUUUUGCAAUUUGUGACUGGCACGUCCAAGGUGCCUUUGGAAGGUUUUAGUGCUCUUCAUGGAAUUUCAGGCUCCCAGAAGUUUCAGACACAUAAAGCAUAUGGAAGUCCUGAUCACUUGCCUUCUGCUCAUACUUGUUUCAAUCAAUUGGAUUUGCCGGACGUAUCCAUCUAAACAACAUUUGGAAGAGAGGUUACUGCUCGCGAUUCACGAAGCAAGUGAGGGAUUUGGAUUUGGUUAAAAUGUUGUUUUACGUUUUAGAGUAGGAGUUUUUUCAUAAUAUAAUGGAACAGUGUACCAGUUUAUUAUCCCAGGAUGUCAAACGGUUCAUUAGUAGCUUGGUUGUUUGAGUAUUUUUAGUAAUGUGACUAUGUAAGUACUUGUUACUAACUUUGUAAUAUUUUUUAUAGUAACAAAUUGUUCUAUGAA